rnacentral:rRNA from 1 species
UACGGAGGGUGCAAGCGUUGUUCGGAAUUAUUGGGCGUAAAGGGCAGGUAGGUGGUCUUAUAAGUCUACUGUGAAAUCCCCGGGCUUAACUCGGGAAGUGCGGUGGAUACUGUAAGACUAGAGUACUGGAGGGGUGCGUGGAAUUCUCGGUGUAGCGGUGAAAUGCGUAGAUAUCGAGAGGAACAUCAGAGGCGAAGGCGGCGCACUGGACAGUUACUGACACUCAACUGCGAAAGCGUGGGGAGCAAACAGG